rnacentral:rRNA from 1 species
CGCAGCCGCGGUAAUUCCAGCUCCAAUAGCGUAUAUUAAAGUUGUUGCAGUUAAAAAGCUCGUAGUUGAAUUUCGGGACUAAUAUGUCGGUCGUACUUUGUACGUACUAGCAUUAUUGGUUUCUCCCUUCUGACGAACCACGAUGUCAUUAAUUUGGUGUCAUGGGAAAUCAGGACUGUUACUUUGAAAAAUUAGAGUGUUUAAAGCAAGCUCGCGCUUGAAUACAUUAGCAUGGAAUAAUGAAAUAGGACGUUUGAUUCUAUUUUGUUGGUUUCUAGGAUCGACGUAAUGAUUAAUAGGGAUAGUUGGGGGCAUUAGUAUUCAAUUGUCAGAGGUGAAAUUCUUGGAUUUAUUGAAGACUAACUACUGCGAAAGCAUUUGCCAAGGAUGUUUUCAUUAAUCAAGAACGAAAGUUAGGGGAUCGAAGACGAUCAGAUACCGUCGUAGUCUUAACCAUAAACUAUGCCGACUAGGGAUCGGAUGAUGUUAAUUUUUAAUGACUCAUUCGGCGCCUUAAC